CUCUGCUCAAUGGUUUACUAAAUAGCCGCAGUACCCUGACUGUGCAAAGGUAGCAUAAUCAUUUGGCUUAUGAUUGAAGUCUAGUAUGAAAGGGUGCAUGGGUAACUUCUGUCUCUAAUUAAUUCUAUUGAAAUUGCUUAAUAAGUGAAAAUACUUAUAUAUAUACAAUAGACGAGAAGACCCUAGAAAUUUUGUAUAGAUGUAUACUUAUGUACAAUAUAUUUUGUUGGGGCGACAAAGUAACAUUUAACUUACUUUAUUUAUAUGAAUUUACUGAUAUGCAAAAAUAAAUUACUCUAGGGAUAACAGCAUAAUUUAUAAUAGUUUGUGACCUCGAUGUUGGACUAGGGAGCGUAGUAUUUAGAAGAUACUACGCUAUGCUCUGUUCGAGCAACUAAUUCCUACGUGAUCUGAGUUCAGACCGGA
rnacentral:rRNA from 1 species